GUGAGUUCGAGCCCCGCCUUGGGCAAACACAACAAAAAAAUAAAUGGCCCCUGCGCAAGGAUGACACGCAAAUUCGUGAAGCGUUCCUCAUUUUC
rnacentral:snRNA from 1 species